rnacentral:rRNA from 1 species
CCUACGGGAGGCAGCAGUGGGGAAUAUUGCGCAAUGGGCGAAAGCCUGACGCAGCAACGCCGCGUGAAGGAUGAAGGUUUUCGGAUCGUAAACUUCUGUCAACAGGGACGAAGGAUUACUGUGCUCCUCAAGAAAAACCUGCCGAACUAUGUGCCAGCAGCCGCGGCAAAAUGCAUGGGGGAAGCGUUGUUCGGAAUGACUGGGAGUAAAGGGAGUGUAGGCGGCAUAUUAAGACAGAUGUGAAAUCCCCGGGCUUAACCCGGGAACUGCAUUUGAAACUCGCAAGCUGGAGUGCAGGAGAGGAGAGUGGAAUUCCUAGUGUAGCAGUGAAAUGCGUAGAUAUUAGGAGGAACACCAGAGGCGAAGGCGACUUUCUGGACUGUAACUGACGCUGAGGCGCGAAAGCGUGGGGAGCAAACAGGAUUAGAUACCCGAGUAGUC